CAAUAGCGUAUAUUUAAGUUGUUGCAGUUAAAAAGUUCGUAGUUGGAUUUCGGGUGGGACGCAGCGGUCUCGCAUUGCGUUUGUACUGCUGCAGCCCUCCUUCUUGCCGGGGGCGGCCUCUCGGACUUCACUGUCUGGGGGUCAGAAUCGGCGAUGUUACUUUGAGUAAAUUAGAGUGUUCAAAGCAAGCUUACGCUCUGAAUAUAAUAGCAUGGGAUAACACGACAGGACUCUGGCCUAUCGUGUUGGUCUAUAGGACCAGAGUAAUGAUUAAGAGGGACAGUCGGGGGCAUUCGUAUUCCGUUGUCAGAGGUGAAAUUCUUGGAUUUACGGAAGACGAACAUCUGCGAAAGCAUUUGCCAAGGAUGUUUUCAUUGA
rnacentral:rRNA from 1 species